rnacentral:rRNA from 1 species
GACGAACGCUGGCGGCGUGCUUAACACAUGCAAGUCGAACGGAAAGGCCCUGCUUUUGUGGGGUGCUCGAGUGGCGAACGGGUGAGUAACACGUGAGUAACCUGCCCUUGACUUUGUGAUAACUUCAGGAAACUGGGGCUCAUAUCGGAUAGGAUCUCCUGCUGCAUGGUGGUGGUUGGAAAGUUUCGGCGGUUGGGGCUGGUCUCGCUGCUUAUCAGCUUCUUGGUGAGGUAGUCGCUUACCAAGGGUGUGACGGGUAGCCGGCCUGAGAGGGUUAACGGGCACAUUGGGCCUGAGAUACGCAGCAGAAUCCUACCGGAGGCAGCAGUGGGGAAUAUUGCGCAAUGGCGCGAAGCCAGAUGCAGCAGCGCCGCGUGCGGGAUAACGGCCUACGGGUUGUAAACAGAUUUCGACUGUGACGAAGAGGGAGUGACGGUAAUGGGUAAAGAAGCACCGGCUAACUACGUG